CAUUGGCAGGAGGAUUCUUAACCACUGCACCACCAGGGAAGCCCUCCUGUUAUGUUUAGAUUCAGGAACCAGUGUCUCAUCUCAGCCUCUGUGGUGCCUCCUGGUCAAACGUCCUUGUGUAAUCCCCACCCCUCCAGGGUGCAUGGACAUUGUGACUGGGUUCUAACAUGAAGACUGAUUUAUGAAAAGUCUGUGACUUCUACUCAAUCCCUCUCCCUUGCGUUCAUUCUCUUUCUCUGUCUGUCAGUGCCUCUCUCUCUCUCUGUUUCUCUGUCUCUCUUUUUCUUAUAUGUAUGUAUGUAUGUAUAUAUUGUUAGGGCCCAGAGCAGGUCACUUCUAAAUAUGUCUUAAUGACAUAUUAAUUCUUUUGAAUUAAUGUUACUUAAGAAAAGACCCAUGCAAGAGAGACACUUUGCAUAUUCUCUGUGUCUCCUGGAAAGCAGGAAAUAAAUCUCUCCUAUGAAAGGUGUACCACCUGGGGGCUGAGGGCUGAGGGCUGCAGGCAUGCUGCCUCCUGCAAAUCAGUUCAUUCUGGGAAUCGUCUGUUGUGAUUCCUGAGGUGUGAGGUAGCUUUGUGAUGACAGAGGUCCUUAUUUUUCUUUGUGGAUUGCCUUUUUGUGUUGUGUGUUAAAACUCAGAGCUCAUGAUCUACAUGACCAAACCCAAGCUCCUAUUGAUUUUCUUCUGUUUUCUUCUAUAAUUUUGAAUAGUUUUGCAUUUUAAGUUUGUCUAUGAAUAAUUUUGAAUGAAUUUGGUGUAAGUUGUGAAGUUUGCGUCAUUUCAUGCCAUAUGGUGUCCAAUGAAUUGUUCCUUAACUAUUUUUAGAAAAGUUUUAGGACACUGUCUCCAUUUCAGUUUGAAUUUCUGCAGUUUAGUGGGUUCAGCCGUUCUACCAGCAGGGUGCGCUGUCUCCAGUGAACUGUGAGUCAGGUGCAGCCUGCCUGUCCCGCACUGACCACAGAGGAGACUGAGCCCGCCUCUCUGACUCACGGCGCACGCGCCUACCACCGGUCUUGGCUCUGCGCGCAGCUGACAGAAGUUUGUCUCAGGCGCCGCCAGAGCUUGUGCAGGGGUGGCCGGGUCAGCGUCUCUGCUGACAGGAGCUGAGUCUCCUUUAGACUCGCCGGGGCUUGGGCUUCAGGACAACACGGGGCUGUGUCCAUGCUGACAGGAGCUGCGUUUCCUGACGACCCAGGAGACGCCAGGAGGAAAAGUGGUUCUGCAGGCUCGCCAGUUGUGAGCGUGGGCUCCAGGGAACUGAGGUUGAGGUCUGCACUUCCCAGCUGGCCAGCAGGCGGCACCAAGCCCACCUCUCUGAUACUUGAGGUGCAUGUGUGUUCCACUGGUGGACUUGGCUCAUGAAGGAACUUGGCUACUUGUGCCACUGAUAGAAGCUCGGUCUCUUCAGGAUCCACCAUGGUUUCAGCUUUGGGACAACACUUGGCUGAGUCCAUGCAGACAGAUCUGAACCCAGUGUCUUCAGGAACCACCAGGAGGCACCACCUUGGGAGUAAAAGGUUUCAGGAAAAUCGCUUUGCCUGGCUGGGGAAAGAAGAGGACCCCCAAAUCAUCCGAAGUCCUUGGGUCCUUGUAGCUGGUUGUAUAGAGAACUGGACACAUGCCAAAUGAGUAUUUGGCCUCCCUGCUCGAUCACCUGUAACCAAGCAUGGACAAGCCCUCUUUGAACAGUCUCCUGGAAUGCUGGAGAGGCUCUCUGGUCACAGGGUCUGGAGACAGAAGAAGGAAGCUAUAGGAAGAGAUAAACACCAGAUAGAACCAGCUGGAACAAAGGUGGCAACGAAUCUGACCUCCGACAGACCCUCAGUCUCAUUCUGCUGAGUUUACUACAUUGGCUACUAGAUGACACACCUACUGGUGGCCCUAACUGGAAGAUAUGGACCAAGAAAGGAUAAAAAGGGUGUGGCUCCCCUUUCCAGGGAAGUGCUGCCCCUUCCCUAGACUAAUGCAUGUGCUCCCCAUCAUUAGCCUCACUCCUCCUGCCUUUGUCUUUACUCUUUAAAAUCAAAUCCCUCUCACCACAUGGGCAAGGUGAUCUGUGAACUAAGUUCCCACUUCUCCAUUCCUUGGCCACAGAAUAAAACUUGAGCUGCGUCAAUCUCAGCUUCGGUUUCGUUCUUUGGCUAUACAAACCCGAACUAGCAUCUAUUCUAUACUUUCUUUUAAUUCUUGUCCUUACACCAAUAACAAGCAUUAUUGAAAACAGUCUCCUAAAAAGAAAACUCUUUGGGGAGUUUCCUGGUGGCCUAGUGGUUAGGAGUCCCAGCUUUCACUGCUGUGGCCCAGGGUUCAAUCCCUGGUCAGGGAGCUGAGAUCCCGCAAGCCACAUGGUGCAGCCAAAAGAAAAAAAAGACUCUUUGCAGUCUAUUUAUUACCCUGGUUUUGUAAAUCAGAGAAGGAGAGGGAAUUCCCUGGCAGUGCAGUGGUUAGGACUCAGUGCUUUCACUGCUGGGGCCCAGGUUCAA